rnacentral:rRNA from 1 species
GGGAGGCGGCGUGCUAAUACAUGCAAGUCGAGCGAAUGGAUUAAGAGCUUGCUCUUAUGAAGUUAGCGGCGGACGGGUGAGUAACACGUGGGUAACCUGCCCAUAAGACUGGGAUAACUCCGGGAAACCGGGGCUAAUACCGGAUAACAUUUUGAACCGCAUGGUUCGAAAUUGAAAGGCGGCUUCGGCUGUCACUUAUGGAUGGACCCGCGUCGCAUUAGCUAGUUGGUGAGGUAACGGCUCACCAAGGCAACGAUGCGUAGCCGACCUGAGAGGGUGAUCGGCCACACUGGGACUGAGACACGGCCCAGACUCCUACGGGAGGCAGCAGUAGGGAAUCUUCCGCAAUGGACGAAAGUCUGACGGAGCAACGCCGCGUGAGUGAUGAAGGCUUUCGGGUCGUAAAACUCUGUUGUUAGGGAAGAACAAGUGCUAGUUGAAUAAGCUGGCACCUUGACGGUACCUAACCAGAAAGCCACGGCUAACUACGUGCCAGCAGCCGCGGUAAUACGUAGGUGGCAAGCGUUAUCCGGAAUUAUUGGGCGUAAAGCGCGCGCAGGUGGUUUCUUAAGUCUGAUGUGAAAGCCCACGGCUCAACCGUGGAGGGUCAUUGGAAACUGGGAGACUUGAGUGCAGAAGAGGAAAGUGGAAUUCCAUGUGUAGCGGUGAAAUGCGUAGAGAUAUGGAGGAACACCAGUGGCGAAGGCGACUUUCUGGUCUGUAACUGACACUGAGGCGCGAAAGCGUGGCACGC